rnacentral:rRNA from 1 species
CACGUAGGGCGCAAGCGUUGUCCGGAAUUAUUGGGCGUAAAGAGCUCGUAGGCGGUCUGUUGCGUCCGCUGUGAAAACUCGGGGCUUAACCCCGAGCCUGCAGUGGAUACGGGCAGACUAGAGGUAGGUAGGGGAGAAUGGAAUUCCCGGUGUAGCGGUGAAAUGCGCAGAUAUCGGGAGGAACACCGGUGGCGAAGGCGGUUCUCUGGGCCUUACCUGACGCUGAGGAGCGAAGGCCAGGGGAGCAAACAGG